CUGGGCUUGACAUGUAAUGAACAACAUGUGAAAGCAUGCGACUCUUCGGAGGCGUUACACAGGUGCUGCAUGGCCGUCGUCAGCUCGUGUCGUGAGAUGUUUGGUUAAGUCCAGCAACGAGCGCAACCCCUGUUGCCAGUUACCAGCACGUGAAGGUGGGGACUCUGGCGAGACUGCCCAGAUCAACUGGGAGGAAGGUGGGGACGACGUCAGGUCAGUAUGGCCCUUAUGCCCAGGGCUGCACACGUACUACAAUGCCCAGUACAGAGGGGGCCGAAGCCGCGAGGCGGAGGAAAUCCUAAAAACUGGGCCCAGUUCGGACUGUAGGCUGCAACCCGCCUACACGAAGCCGAAAUCGCUAGUAAUGGCGCAUCAGCUACGGCGUCGUGAAUACGUUCCC
rnacentral:rRNA from 1 species